AUUGAACGCUGGCGGAAUGCUUUACACAUGCAAGUCGAGCGGCAGCGCGGUCUUCGGACUGGCGGCGAGCGGCGAACGGGUGAGUAAUACAUCGGAACGUACCCAGUCGUGGGGGAUAACACUUCGAAAGAAGUGCUAAUACCGCAUACGUCCUGAGGGAGAAAGCGGGGGAUCGCAAGACCUCGCGCGCUUGGAGCGGCCGAUGUCAGAUUAGCUAGUUGGUGGGGUAAAGGCCUACCAAGGCAACGAUCUGUAGCUGGUCUGAGAGGAUGAUCAGCCACACUGGGACUGAGAGACGGUCCAGACACCUACGGGGGGCAGCAGUGGGGAAUUUUGGACACUGGGCGAAAGCCUGCUCCAGCCAUUCCGCGUGAGUGAAGAAGGCCUUCGGGUUGUAAAGCUCUUUCGGCAGGGAAGAAACGCUCUGGGAUAAUACUCCGGGGUAAUGACGGUGCCUGAAGAAGAAGCACCGGCUAACUACGUGCCAGCCGCCGCCGUAA
rnacentral:rRNA from 1 species